rnacentral:rRNA from 1 species
GAUGAACGCUGGCGGCGUGCCUAACACAUGCAAGUCGAGCGAAGCGGGGACGGGUGAGUAACACGUGGAUAACCUGCCAUAAAACUGGGAUAAACUCGGGAAACCGGAGCUAAUCCGGCAACUUAUAGAUUGAUCCGCGUUGCAUUAGCUAGUUGGUAAGGUAACGGCUUACAAAGGCAACGAUCCAUAGCCGACCUGAGAGGGUGAUCGGCCACACUGGAACUGAGACACGGUCCAGACUCCUACGGGAGGCAGCAGUAGGGAAUCUUCCGCAAUGGGCGAAAGCCUGACGGAGCAACGCCGCGUGUAUGAUGAAGGUCUUCGGAUCGUAAAGCACUGUUAGUAGGGAAGCGGUACCUAAACAGAAAGCCACGGCUAACUACGUGCCAGCAGCCGCGGUAAUAC